rnacentral:rRNA from 1 species
GUCGGGAGUCUUGCACAAUGGGGGAAACCCUGAUGCAGCGACGUCGCGUGUGGGAUGAAGUAUUUCGGUAUGUAAACCACUUUUGCGGGGGGCGAAAAAAAUGACGGUACCCCGCGAAUAAGCCCCGGCUAACUACGUGCCAGCAGCCGCGGUAAUACGUAGGGGGCGAGCGUUGCUCGGAUUGACUGGGCGUAAAGCGCGCGUAGGCGGUCCAUUAAGUGUGCGGUGAAAUGCGUAGAUAUACGGAGGAACACCAGUGGCGAAGGCGGAUUACUGGACGAUAACUGACGCUGAGGCGCGAAAGCGUGGGGAGCAAACAGGAUUAGAUACCCUGGUAGUCC